rnacentral:misc_RNA from 1 species
GUUUGCACACGCGGAACCGAAACAACAACAGCAACGAAAAUACGCAUAUCUGCGCGCGCGUGCGUGUGUGAGGGUGAACGGGCAAAGUCCUCUCUAACGAUAAAUCAAACAUAUCUCUUCAAAAAGAGAACGUAAUGAAGAACGAAGCGGUUGGAAGGGGCCAACGGACAGCAGCAGAGAAGAGGGAAAGCGAAAGCAAACGCGAAUGACCCCCCACCCCGUGCUCGCUCCGUGUUUCAUUCUUUUUUUUUUGUUAUAUAUGCGAGCUUCUCUCUGGCAAGGGGGUGAAGGCGUACGCCGGCGCGCACGCGCCUCGAAGUGGAGGUGGGUAGACGAAGGCGAGGGAAUGAUGGAACUUCCUUGCUUAGGCAACACAUGCAAGCAGUCUGAUGGCAGUGUCUAGCAGGAGGAGAUGGAGCAUAAGAAAGAGAGGAUCACUGACCAAACCCAGCGAGAGAGAGUGUGAGAACAAAAAAGUUCGCUCUGCCAGCGCGUGGAAUACGGUGCAAGAUUGCUCCAUCUCGUGCACGCGUAAGUGGACAAUGAAGCACGCGCGUGAACGAUCAAGCCCCUCUCCCCCUCUCCCGCGCAAACACGUGCCUGACGCCACCUGUACGGACAUGAACAGACAUAUGGCUGAAUCCAGCACGCGUGUGCGCACCAGGUGAUCGGCCCACGCCUUUCCCUUGUGCUCUCGCAAGUUUGGGCGAAUAUCGGCUGCCGCCCUCCUUCUGGUCUUACGCAG